GGAUCUUGGCUUGGUGGCAGAGCAUCUCAUUGGCAUGCAGAAAGUCCCAGGUUCGAUCCCUGUCAUCUCCA
rnacentral:tRNA from 1 species